AUUGCUUUUAAUGAUGAUGAAGUUCAACCUUAAUAUUGUGAAAACUGAAGUUGUUAUAUUUCGAGGCGGUCCUGCUAUAUCAUUAAAACUUGCCUUCUUUUACGGUAGAAAUUGUAUAUAGAUGGUUGAUUCCUAUACUUAUCUUGGAAAUAACA